ACCCGCUGAAUUUAAGCAUAUCACUAAGCGGAGGAAAAGAAACUAACAAGGAUUCCCCUAGUAACGGCGAGCGAACGGGGAAGAGCCCAGCACCGAACCCUGCGAAGUACAAGCGCCAGGGAAUGUGGUGUUUGGGAGGGAUCAUUCUCGUGGUUCACUUUCGGAGCGUUCCAAGUCCGCUUGAACGCGGCCAUCGCCCGUAGAGGGUGACAGGCCCGUAUGAACGUUCCGAGCCGCGGGUUGAUCUCUCCUUGGAGUCGGGUUGCUUGAGAGUGCAGCCCUAAGAGGGUGGUAAACUCCAUCUAAGGCUAAAUACGACCACGAGACCGAUAGCGAACAAGUACCGUGAGGGAAAGUUGAAAAGUACUCUGAAGAGA
rnacentral:rRNA from 2 species